AACGGAGGGUGCAAGCGUUGUUCGGAAUUACUGGGCGUAAAGCGCGUGCAGGUGGUUUUUUAAGUUUCGUGUGAAAUCCCAUGGCUCAACCAUGGAACGGCACGGAAAACUGGAAGGCUUGAGUACGGGAGAAGAGGGCGGAAUUCCCAGUGUAGAGGUGAAAUUCGUAGAUAUUGGGAGGAACACCGGUGGCGAAAGCGGCUCUCUAGACCGAUACUGACGCUCAUACGCGAGAGCGUGGGUAGCAAACAGGG
rnacentral:rRNA from 1 species